rnacentral:rRNA from 1 species
CAGCUAGUUGGCGGGGUAAUGGCCCACCAAGGCGAUGAUCGGUAUCCGGCCUGAGAGGGCGCACGGACACACUGGAACUGAAACACGGUCCAGACUCCUACGGGAGGCAGCAGUGGGGAAUUUUGCGCAAUGGGGGAAACCCUGACGCAGCAACGCCGCGUGGAGGAUGAAGUAUCUUGGUACGUAAGCUCCUUUCGAUGGGGAAGAUUAUGACGGUACCCAUAGAAGAAGCCCCGGCUAACUUCGUGCCAGCAGCCGCGGUAAUACGAGGGGGGCAAGCGUUGUUCGGAUUUAUUGGGCGUAAAGGGUGCGUAGGCGGUUUGGCAAGUCUUAUGUGAAAUCUUCGGGCUCAACCCGAAGCCUGCAUAAGAAACUGCCGGGCUUGAGUAUGGGAGAGGUGAGUGGAAUUUCCGGUGUAGCGGUGAAAUGCGUAGAUAUCGGAAGGAACACCUGUGGCGAAAGCGGCUCACUGGACCAUAACUGACGCUGAGGCACGAAAGCUAGGGGAGCAAACAGGAUUAGAUACCCUGGUAGUCCUAGCCCUAAACGAUGAUUGCUUGAUGUGGCAGGUACCCAAUCCUGCCGUGUCGAAGCUAAC